rnacentral:lncRNA from 10 species
CGGAUCCCCUGAACAAAGGGAUGAUUCACAUCCUUGGUGGGACGGAGCAGGAAGGCUGGAGAUUUCAUCAAGCUACUCACAGCAGCAUGCCAUUUAAAAUUCAUGAAUUAUUUAUUUCUGGAAUUUUCCGUUUAAUAUUUUUGGACCACAAUUGACCUCAGAUUUUACUUUCUACUCUUGUCAGUCAUAUCUGCAAGGCUGACAGUUACCAGGGGCUGUGGCCAGGCAUGAGGGAGAAUGUGUCAUUGCUGGCUGCGUUGGUCAUAGCAACGUGUCUGCCUCAGAACAGAUCCAGCAUGGAUGAGCAAACAGAAAAAUGUGUAAGAAGGCUUGUGACUGAAACAGACCAAGGCAGACACUUGAAGAAGCAUCUUUCUUGUGAUCUCCUGGCUGGUACCCUGAAGUCCUGUUAUGCCAAUGGACCAGCAACCCUCGCAGGUAGGAAUUACUGCUAGAAAGACUAUCCUCUCUGCAGGCAAAUUUCUGGAAGGAUACUAUUUUAUGGGGAAAAAUGUGAACAACUGUAGGUAAUUUCACAGUCUGUAGGGCUUGUCUCCUAUUUGUAAUUUCUUACAUGUUUACUCGUGGUGGAAAUGUGGAGGUGGCUAAGGAACAAGCAGGCCCGCUGUGUUUCAGUGGCUUUCAGAGAAGGUGGCGGGAAAUAGUCUCUUCUCAGCAGCAGCUGAAUCCCAGUGUUAGCAGACGGAGCCUUGUUUCUUGAAAGUACAUUCCCAGGGAUUCCCUUGAAGAAUGUGAGAGAUCAGCUGGAAUGAAACUGGAUGUUUUAGGGUCCUGAGGGAAAUGUAAAUCCAGCAGCUUAUUCUCAAGAUGUGGCUCCAGAACCAGCAGCACUGAUUCUUCUAAAGAGUUGAGAGUGCAUUUUAGCUGUGAUAUCUUUGUACUCUUAAGAAAUCCUCCUCAACAAGACAAAACUUGACCAAGAGCAUUCAGUUGUCUUCCAGAAGGCUCCCUUGAGGACUGGGACUCUUCCUGGAUGCACCCAAUUAAUCUAUUGAAACAAGGACUCGUGAUGGCAGCCCCUCACCUGACAAACUGGAUUUUCCCCAGAGAUCAUUUGUAAUGUUUUUCCUGAAUCUUAUUUGUGUUUCCCUAUUAGCAAUGUUAUGUAUUUCUAUAUCGCAAAUCCUAAGUGCCGCCUGUAGAACCUAACCUCCAUUUAUAGCAUGGAACACACAGCCCAUCACGUAUCCUUGCCCUGGCCUUCAGCCUCUGAAUAUUUUAAUAAAAAUCACUCUUUCCUCCUUAAGGACCAUGUUCUUUAAAAGCUUAACACAUAGUUCUUAAUAAUUGGUUGCUUUACUUGAUGUUUCUCUGUUUAUCUUGGCUGCCCAGAAGCUCAGACUUAAAUGUAAGAGUCUACUUACAGUAACAACCUUGUUGCGGAUACAAUUAAUUCUCC